CGAGGAGAGAAGGGGGAGCAUGGCAGGAGCAGAGCUUAGGGAGCUGGGGUUGGCUCCACCCGAUAAGGCUGAGAGAUAAAAUUAAUGAUUUCAUUUCCUGAAAUAUAUGUCCUUGGAAAACCGAGGGCAGAGAGCAAUGAACAGACUGGGAAGGGAGAAAAAAACCAAGACACGACAGUGUCUAAGGGCCCGGGUGAAGCUGGUGUCCCCCACAACAGACACGACAAUGUCUAAGGGCCCGGGUGAAGCUGGUGUCCCCCGCAGCAGACACGACAGUAUCUAAGAGCCCAGGUGUACCGGGUGCCGCGCCCCACUGCUGCACGGAUGCGGGACGUGGGGCAGAGGAUGAGAGCAGGGGGUGCUGAGAGAAAGGCCAGCUGACUCCCUCGCCUCCCUGGUGGGUGAUCACACAUCAAGAGCAGCCUGGGGCUUAGACCUCAUGCCCCUCGUCCCUGGAGCACGCUCUUCCAUUCAGCCUCUGACGCCUUUCCCCUCUCCGUCUCCCACAAGCCCCUGCAGCUCUCACAAAAUGAGCCCAGCGGGCUCCUGCCUCUUGGCCUUUGCCUAGACUGUCUCCCCCACCAGAUGCACCUGCCUACUUUCCCCCUAACAGUCUCCUACCCACUGCUCCAUUAGGAUUCAGCUUGGAAAUGACCCAUGCCGGGCCUGGGGCCUUUCUAGCCUGGUCAGGACCCUGUGCACUGUCUUCCACACCCCAGACUCUCUAAUUUGCAUAUCCAUCUGUGACCCUGAGCAAAUGACUUAAAUCCACAGUGACUCAGAUUCCUCAUCUCUAAAGAAUGGGCACCCUUGUAAAUAUGCUAAGAGAAAUAGAUGAGUUACUACGUGGAAAGUCUUGGAACAAUGCCUGGCCCAUUUUAAACAGUUGAUAAAUAUUAGUCAUGUUUAUUUUUAGUUCAUCCCUAGGCCACCUGUGCUCAGAAGGGGCCUGACACCCAGGGCUUUUCAAGGUGUUUUUGUUGACUUACUAUGUGCACACGUGGACUGCCUUCAUCUCACAUAUAGUGCGGAAAUGAAGAAUAGAAACCCCAGCCGGGCAUAUUGGUGUGUGCCCAGCUACUCAGGAGGCUGAAGUGGGAGGAUCACUUGAGCCCAGGAGUUUGAGACCAGCCCGGGCAAUAUACAAAACCCCAUCUUUACAAAGAAAAACAAAAAGAGAGAAAAAAUUACCCAGGCAUGGUAGUGCACGCCUGUAGUCCCAGCUACCGGGAGGCUGAGGUGGGAGGAUCACCUGAGACUGGGAAGUCAAGGCUGCAGUAAGCUGCGAUUGUGCCACUGCACUCCAGCCUGGGUGACAGAGUGAGCCCCUGUCUCAGAAAGCAAAACAAUGGCCAGGCGCGGUGGCUCACACCUGUAAUCCCAGCAAUUUGGGAGGCCGAGGUGGGCAGAUCACCUGAGAUCAGGAGUUCGAGACCAGCCUGGCUAAGAUGGUGAAACCCCAUCUCUACUAAAAUGCAAAAAUUAGCUGGCUGUGGUGGCAGGCACCUGUACUCCCAGCUACUC
rnacentral:lncRNA from 1 species